GACGAACGCUGGCGGCGUGCCUAGUACAUGCAAGUCGAGCGAAUGACGAGAAGCUUGCUUCUCUGAUUUAGCGGCGGACGGGUGAGUAACACGUGGGCAACCUGCCCUACAGAUCGGGAUAACUCAGGGAAACCUGGGCUAAUACCGGAUAAUCCUUCGAAUCACAUGUUUUGAAGUUGAAAGGCGCUUCGGCGUCACUGUAGGAUGGGCCCGCGGUGCAUUAGCUAGUUGGUGGGGUAACGGCCUACCAAGGCAACGAUGCAUAGCCGACCUGAGAGGGUGAUCGGCCACAUUGGGACUGAGACACGGCCCAAACUCCUACGGGAGGCAGCAGUAGGGAAUCUUCCACAAUGGACGAAAGUCUGAUGGAGCAACGCCGCGUGAGUGAUGAAGGUUUUCGGAUCGUAAAACUCUGUUGUAAGGGAAGAACAAGUACGUUAGGAAAUGAACGUACCUUGACGGUGCCUUAUUAGAAAGCCACGGCUAACUACGUGCCAGCAGCCGCCGUAA
rnacentral:rRNA from 1 species